rnacentral:rRNA from 1 species
UUGACCUCGGAUCAGGUAGGGAUACCCGCUGAACUUAAGCAUAUCAAUAAGCGGAGGAAAAGAAACCAACAGGGAUUGCCCUAGUAACGGCGAGUGAAGCGGCAACAGCUCAAAUUUGAAAUCUGGC